AAAUAAGUGAGGCAGAAUCUGCAUUAAAAUACAUGAUUAUUGUUUCAAUGGUUAUGAAAUAUUUUCCUAUAGUAAGGAGGUUUUUAGUUAUCAGGCUAUGGUUCAAUUAGAAACCAAAGUGAGCUGUAUAUAUUUACAUCUAUUGACUCAUAGUGGCCAUAGGAUGUGUGUUAAUGAUCUGAUAAUCUAACACAACGUUUUCACCACUUCAUCAGCUCACAAAAUACUUCCCCAUUCGCUGUGACAGAGAUGAACGUCUGGCCGCAUGUGAACUGAUGGCAGAGGCGGACAGAGUACACAGCUUCCUUACUUGAGUAAAAGUACAGAUACCCCUUGCUAAAUUUUACUCAAGUACAAGUAAAAGUACUACAGUCAGAUGUCUACUUAAGUAAAAGUACUGAAGUAGUUGUUUUUAAAAGUACUUGAGUAUCAAAAGUACAAGAGUACACUUUCUAAAUAUUGCAUUACUUCUGCCACAGUGCUUACAUUUAUGUACAGAAACGUCGUACAUGGAGUUAUGAAAGUGACUCAAAAUCUCUAUUGAGUCACUUUAGCAGAUGCUUUAGUCAAGGUAUAUAAACAGUGAGUUUAGAAACAUGUCAUUAAGGAGCAGGUAGGGGUUAGGGGCAGCUCGCUCAAGGACCCCAUGACAGUCAGGCUGUGUAGUGUGGACAUUGGGGUUGGAACCCUGAUGUAUAUUAUUUUAGUCUAUGUUAUUUCUGAUGACAUAUGUCAAGCAAACAACAAUUAUGAACAGUUUCUUUACAACAUAAUGGACCGCACCAUAUAAGGUUUUAAUGAUUUUAAAGAUAAGUUAAAGACUACAAACAUGGCCACUUUGCAAUUUCAGUUUAAGCCCAGACAGAUCAAGGUUUACCUGGGUCAGUUAAAACAGGUAGGCGUGGCCUAUUUACCGCUCCGCCCACUCCCAAUAUAACUGUUUGUUUACCUGUGUUCGGGAGAUGCUUCAGGAACCACCUCCAGAACACAAGCCCGUUUACCUUGUGUCUCUGUUAGAAUAAACCACGUGUUGAACAUUUACCACUCUCCUAGUUAUACCUAGCACGAGACGACCAUACCACAAAGGAUCAAAACAGUUUUUCCUCAAUAACCCACAACCAAUUUAUCUGGGAGUCAAACACCUUAACAAGUAGCUGACGACUUGUUCCAUGUUUCUCUUUGUUCUGUCAUUGAUUUUUAAUCCACAAGGAGCAGCCAGCAGCAGCCCAACAUCAAGGCCCCCAUCAACAUCAACAACACCAACAACACAUAAUACAACGAACG
ensembl:lncRNA